GCCGCGGUGGCGGAACUGGCAGACGCACUGGACUCAAAAUCCAGCGGUAGCAAUACCAUGAGGGUUCGACCCCCUCCCGCGGCACCA
rnacentral:tRNA from 1 species